ensembl:lncRNA MAILR macrophage interferon regulatory lncRNA
GGAGGACUGAGCCCGGGAGAGAGAGGGGAGGGGUCGGCGCGCGACCGGGUCAUGCAGGUGCAGACUGGCCGGUCGCUUCCCGCCCUCCAGCCACCCGCAGCUCCCCGGCAGGCGAAGGGCGGCCGCGCGGGUGUGGGCCGAGAGAGGGAGGCGGCUCGGCUGGAGCGCGCCGUCCGCCCGACCCCCGCCGCCUCUCGGGCGCCUGCGCUCACGCUGCGGGGCCCAGCGCAUUGUGAGCCGGGUCGAGCUCCACGCUGGCAGCGUCUGAGAGCUGUCCUGGGCCGGAGGUGGCGCGAACCCUGUGCGGCCUAGAGUGGGCCUGGGGAAGCCAGCUGCCAUGUUCUGAGUACUCUCUGGAAGGGCCUGCAUGGCAAGGAACUGAUGUUUCCAGCCAGCAGCCAGCAAGAACUGCAAGCCUUGUGAAUGAGCUUGGAAGCAGAUCCUCCCCUCACUCAAGCCAUGAUAUGACAACAGCCUGAGACCCAGAGGUCAGUAAAUUGUCAAGUUUGUAUAUCUAGCAAAUAGCAGAGCCAAAAUUCCUGUCACUCAAACUCAAGAUUUCCUCAUCUAUAAAAUGUAGUUGUUCCACAUGGCCAGAUGCAAAGUGUCAUUUAGCUAUAAGAGUCUAAUGAAUCUAGGUCCCA